rnacentral:ncRNA from 1 species
GAAAAGGCAAUGAAGAGAAAUAGUACAUAUACAAUGAAUUUCAGAGAGAAGAUGGUUGGUGCGAAUCUUUAUUUUAGUAUAUCGAAGCAGUCUCGGAGCUUUGGACCGAAUAACGGUCUCCGUUCUGAUUUCAGGGAGAUGGUUUAGUAGGCUUCAACGUAUUCCCACGUUACAGGGACACGAUAUGCUGGUAUCGUAGAGAGUGCAGAGAUUUCUCUGAAUUUAGGUGGUAACACGGAUUGUAUAUUCGCCCUAAAC